rnacentral:rRNA from 1 species
UACGUAGGGUGCGAGCGUUGUCCGGAAUUACUGGGCGUAAAGAGCUCGUAGGUGGCUUGUCGCGUUGUUCGUGAAAACUCACAACUCAAUUGUGGGCGUGCGGGCGAUACGGGCAGACUGGAGUACUGCAGGGGAGACUGGAAUUCCUGGUGUAGCGGUGGAAUGCGCAGAUAUCAGGAGGAACACCGGUGGCGAAGGCGGGUCUCUGGGCAGUAACUGACGCUGAGGAGCGAAAGCGUGGGGAGCGAACAGG